AUUGAACGCUGGCGGCAGGCUUAACACAUGCAAGUCGAGCGGGGAAAGGUAGCUUGCUACUGGACCUAGCGGCGGACGGGUGAGUAAUGCUUAGGAAUCUGCCUAUCAGUGGGGGACAACAUUCCGAAAGGAAUGCUAAUACCGCAUACGCCCUACGGGGGAAAGCAGGGGAUCUUCGGACCUUGCGCUAAUAGAUGAGCCUAAGUCGGAUUAGCUAGUUGGCGGGGUAAAGGCCUACCAAGGCGACGAUCUGUAGCGGGUCUGCGAGGAUGAUCCGCCACACUGGGACUGAGACGCGGCACAGACUCCUACGGGAGGCAGGAGUGGGGAAUAUUGGACAAUGGGCGCAAGCCUGAUCCAGCCAUGCCGCGUGUGUGAAGAAGGCCUUUUGGUUGUAAAGCACUUUAAGCGAGGAGGAGGCUCCUUUAGUUAAUACCUAAAGAGAGUGGACGUUACUCGCAGAAUAAGCACCGGCUAACUCUGUGCCAGCAGCCGCGGUAA
rnacentral:rRNA from 1 species